rfam:Camelus ferus unplaced genomic scaffold scaffold818, whole genome shotgun sequence.
GAGGGUAUAGUUCAAGCAGUAGAGUGCAUGCUUAGCAUGCACAAGGUCCUGGGUUCAAUCCCCAGUAUCUCCU